UGCAGUCGAACGAGAAGCCGGACUUCGGUCUAGUGGACAGUGGCGGACGGGUGAGUAACGCGUGGGUACUUGCCUCCCUGUACGGGACAACCUCGGGAAACUGGGGCUAAUACCGUAUGUACCGGUCUUGGUGGUUCUUGAUCGGGAAAGAUUUAUCGCAGGGAGAUAGACCCGCGUCCGAUUAGCUAGUUGGUGUGGUAACGGCGCACCAAGGCUUCGAUCGGUAGCUGGUUUGAGAGGAUGAUCAGCCACACUGGGACUGAGACACGGCCCAGACUCCUACGGGAGGCAGCAGUGGGGAAUAUUGGACAAUGGGCGCAAGCCUGAUCCAGCCAUGCCGCGUGAGUGAAGAAGGCCCUAGGGUUGUAAAACUCUUUCACCGAUGAAGAUAAUGACGGUAGUCGGAGAAGAAGCCCCGGCUAACUCCGUGCCAGCAGCCGCGGUAAUACGGAGGGGGCUAACGUUGUUCGGAUUUACUGGGCGUAAAGCGCGCGUAGGCGGUUUGUUAAGCUGGGCGUGAAAGCCCGGGGCUCAACCCCGGAACUGCGUUCGAAACUGGCAAGCUAGAGUUCGGGAGAGGGUGGUGGAAUUUCCAGUGUAGAGGUGAGAUGCGUAGAUAUAGGAAGGAACAUCAGUGGCGAAGGCGACGCCCUGGCUUGAUACUGACACUGAGGUGCGAAAGCGUGGGGGAGCAAACAGGA
rnacentral:rRNA from 1 species